AGACAGGCCCCACGCAAUGGGUGAGAUCUGAACCCCGCCAGGACGAGAGUAGCAACGGUAGGCUUUGAUCCCAUGUGCCGUGAUCAGGCUUGAGAAGU
rnacentral:SRP_RNA from 1 species